rnacentral:sRNA from 1 species
GCCCCCACAAUGACUUCUACAUAUAUUCAAAUAGAGAAUUGUAUCACAGAGGCUAUAUCUGCAUUUAUUGAUUGUGAAAAUGUUUUAAUUACAGAUAUUGCACAAGAAUUUUCAGUUCCUUACCAGCAUCUACAUGCUUGAAUACAUGGAAGAGAUUCUUGAAUUACAUGACCUUCUAUCAAUUGAUUAUUAUUCACUGCUCAGGAGCUAUCAGUUGAUCAGUAUAUUAUAUCACUAGAUCAACUAGGAAUGCUUCUCAAUCAUGCUAUGAUAGCUGAUGCUGCCAAUGCUGUUCUCAAAGAAUCACACUCUGACUCUGAUCCACCAAAGAUUGAUAAGCACUGACUGAAGUGAUAUCUUAAACAUCACUCUGAAUUCCAUGUAUGAAGACAAAAGACAAUCAAUAUUGCAUGCAAGCAAGCUCAUCAACCAUCUUUUAUAUUGAAUUGGUUUGGAUGAUAUAAAGAGACACUGGAGAAAUAUGAUAUUCAACUCUGUGAUAUAUGAAACUUUGAUGAGACAGAAUUUCAGAUAGAAAUCAGAAGGGAUCAGUGGAUUAUAACAAG